rnacentral:sRNA from 1 species
AUGUGGCUCUCCUCUUGUUUA